rnacentral:lncRNA from 1 species
CGGCGGUGCACGGCGCCUGCGUCGGCGGCGGCGUCGAGGUCGUGGCCGCCUGCGACAUACGGUGCUGCUCCAAGGACGCCACGUUCGUGCUCAGGGAGGUGGACAUGGCCAUCGUCGCCGACCUCGGCGCGCUGCAGCGGCUUCCGCGGAUCGUCGGGUACGGGAACGCCGCCGACCUCGCGCUCACCGGCCGCAAGAUCACCGCCAUGGAGGCCAAGGAGAUGGGGCUCGUGACCAGGGUGUUCAAUUCCAAGCAAGAAUUGGAUGCUGGCGUUG